rnacentral:rRNA from 1 species
UACGUAGGGAGCAAGCGUUAUCCGGAUUUACUGGGUGUAAAGGGCGUGUAGGCGGGCCUGCCAAGUCUGAUGUGAAAUACCGGGGCUCAACCCCGGGGCUGCAUUGGAAACUGGCAGGCUGGAGUGCCGGAGAGGCAGGCGGAAUUCCUAGUGUAGCGGUGAAAUGCGUAGAUAUACGGAGGAACACCAGUGGCGAAGGCGGCCUGCUGGACAUUAACUGACGCUGAGGCGCGAAAGCGUGGGGAGCAAACAGG